AUGGCAGAAGACGCAAUGCUAGUGUCGACGACGUCUGCGCUCGCUAAAGAAUUAGCCCGUGUGCUGACUGCGAAGGUCCACCGUGCCACAGAUACAGUGAAGAGGAUCACCGGAUCCGGGCGAUCGAACCCGGAAAAGAGGCCGGAGGAUAAGUCACUCAACAGUUACGCGCUCCUUCAGGCGUACGUUUUGAUGGCGGUAACAGGGUUAGGCUACCUGGCGCUCACAUGGUCGACGGUAGUCCUCCUGGGUGGCUUCGUCACCUCGCUGGGGAACAAGGAUUUUUGGUGCCUCACAUGCAUCAGCCUGGUACAGGCAGCCAGGAUCUUCAAUGACUCAGGGGACAACUUGUUUCCAAUAUUUCUGACCCUAAUGCAGAAGCUUGCGCGCAAAGUUUUGGCAAAUCGCGUAACUGUUCUGUGGGUACAAGUUGUCUUUGUCAUCACCCAAAUACUAUCCAUGCCGGUCCUGGUUGUGGUCAUAAUUGCAGGGAUCGUUUAUGCAUUUGGGCCGGUCGCCUGCAUCGUGCUCUCUGUGUGGCGCCUAUGGCAGCACGAUUAUGGCAACACUGAAGGAGAUGACAACAAAGCAAACCUGGUGCCAGCACUGAUCAUAUUCUACUGUUUGGUUAUCUGCCAAGUUGUGCUCUACUACAUAUGGUGGUUGAUUGAUCGCUCAGCAAUGUGGGUUGUCGUUUCAUUCUGCAAAGAAUGCAACUUACCAAAAGAGUGGGGAAGCAUAUCAGUUGUAGAUUACCUCUAUGAUACCCGAGUGAAGUGCUGGAGGGACCCUACAUCCAUUGAUGGUAGGAAGCUGAUCAACUAUGCUGUCGAUUUGGUGGACUCGGAAUCGCAGAAAGACUACCUCUCAGGAGCAAGGAUGCUUGACACCUUCAUUAAGCUGGAGGCAGAUGUAAGGUCACUGUUACUCCCCUCUAGACCCAAGAUUCAGAAGCUGAUCGAUACACUAGGGUGGAGAAGCAGCAAUAGAGAACUUAGGGAGGUGGUCGCCAGGAUCGUUGCAUACCUUGCUGGUGACAUCCAUUUGUCCCAGUUCCCUGGGGCAAUACGCUGCAUAUCCUCCCUGCUCGAUACCACCCUGCCGUAUUGGAACAACCAACAAGGAGACAAUCAUCAUUCACCUCCUAGAGAGUCAAAACAGGACACUGGUGCCGCUAGGGAAAGAUUAAUUUCCUUUGUCAAAGGCAUAGACAAAUACAUAGAAAACGAUUUUAGAAACCAAGUGGAUAGCAACGGAGAUGGCUGGAAUGAGCUGAUUCUGCAAGGCCUGACAAUUCUCGAGAGGCUCGCCUUCGAUCCACACAACUGCAGCGACAUAUGCAACACCCCUGAUCUCCUCCCUAAGAUCAUGGCACCUCUAUACUCCAGCACACUAAUCCAAGAUAUCAAUGGAAGCAGUGUUGGCAGAGAGCUGCAGAUGCGUGCCAUAGAAAUACUGACAGAACCGGCUUUUGAUUCGUCGGCCAACCUCUGCACGGGAAUAAAAGAAAAUCUAAUCAAGAAGCAGUUGCAGAUAUUCCUUACUGAUGAUGAAGGGGGAGAAGAAAAGCUUAGAGUUACCGCUGGGAAAUCGCUGGCAUUACUUUCCAGGAUAAAAACUAUCUCUAUGUUCAUAGUGAUGGAACAGAAUAACAUUCUUGAUCGUCUCAAUGAAAUACUUGAUGCUAAGAACAACAUCACUUACAGGAUAGUAGCAUCGGAGAUAUUGGAGAAUUUGUGCACUCACUGUACAUUGGACAAGGAUUACCUGAAGGAAGCCUUGCUGCCAAAGGUCCUCACGGAAGUACUGGUCAGUAAACGAGAUGAAUUGCCGUGUCUUGCAAGAGUGACCGAGGCAGUAAAGGCAAUUGUCGCAACCAAAAAACAUGAAGAAAACCAGGCAGUUUCUGGACCGAGUGAUGAUGAAGAAAACCAACUGCCGUCCAAACACAGUGGCAAAAUCAAGUCAUCUAAUCAGACAAAUAAGGAAUUCCAAGAAGCAUUGUUAUCGCUUACCUUGGUGGUGUGUGUCAGUGCAAAUGACUUCAACGAUGUGGCUCGAGAGAUUUCCCUCCAAGAGAGUGAAUUUGUGCGGAACCUCAAGGCUAUAGUAGAACAAAGCUGUAAGGCUAGAGCUGAUUGUCUAAGAAUCGUGAAGCUUUGUGGCCAGAUUGCGAUAUUAAUGCUGCAGCGCAGCCAUGUCACCGCGGACUUGGAGGAAUGCGUGAAGUCCUUAUGUAAGGCCUCAAAGAUCAUGUCUAACCUUGAAAGUUGCAUGCUCUUUGCUGGAACUGAUUGCGGAGUGAAGAAGACUGCUAGGCCUCUCCUCUCCGACAUUGCCAAAAAAGCGAGCCAGUUGGUUGGUAAUUAG
rnacentral:rRNA from 1 species